rnacentral:lncRNA from 1 species
CGGGCUUCUGGGGGCGCCCAGCCCGUGUCAACAUCAUGUUCUGUCGCCCCUCUUUUGGGCCUCCUAAGGGCCAUCGAAAGGAAACGACUUCAGGCUUUAACUGAGUAGAGGGCAGACGCUCCUGCCGGCCUUACAGGUGCUGGAUGGCCAUGGACCCAACUUUAGCAGAAAAUCCUUUUCAGAUGGAAGUUGGAUGGGAAGGGUUGGCAGGACCCCCGUUA